rnacentral:rRNA from 1 species
CCUACGGGGCGCUGCAGUGGGGAAUAUUGGACAAUGGGCGAAAGCCUGAUCCAGCCAUGCCGCGUGUGUGAAGAAGGCCUUCGGGUUGUAAAGCACUUUCAGUGGGGAAGAAAGCCUUGGGGCUAAUACCCUCGAGGAAGGACAUCACCCACAGAAGAAGCACCGGCUAACUCCGUGCCAGCAGCCGCGGUAAUACGGAGGGUGCGAGCGUUAAUCGGAAUUACUGGGCGUAAAGCGCGCGUAGGCGGUCUGAUAAGCCGGUUGUGAAAGCCCCGGGCUCAACCUGGGAACGGCAUCCGGAACUGUCAGGCUAGAGUGCAGGAGAGGAAGGUAGAAUUCCCGGUGUAGCGGUGAAAUGCGUAGAGAUCGGGAGGAAUACCGGUGGCGAAGGCGGCCUUCUGGACUGACACUGACGCUGAGGUGCGAAAGCGUGGGUAGCAAACAGGAUUAGAUACCCUUGUAGUC